GGGCCCUCCCCGGGCGGCGCCCGGGCGACCGCACACAAGCCUUUUGUCUGACGCCGGCUUCCCGGGCGGCGCCGAGCGCCCCAGCGGGCCGGGUCCCCGCGCGUCGCACUCACCCACGGUGGCCAGCGUGUCGAAGUCCUGCGAGCGGAGGAAACCCGUCCACGGGGCAUCCAUUUCUAGACCCUUCCAGACCAAGGGAAGGUGGAGAUAGUUUACAGUGGAGAAAUGCAAACACUUUUUCUCUCAGCUGAAGCAUCCAUUUGUAAAUAGCCUUUGGCCCCCUGAAGUUCUUCUCCUUCACUGAUUCUGAAAAUCCAUCCUGCUCUCCACAAGGCACAUAUCCAGGCCCUCCUAAGACCCAGAAGAAAGCCAAGAUUUCUAUUUAAGGAGCGUCCCUCUUCUUCAAAGGUGGCUGUGGUUAUAAAUAGCCGCAUUUUAAAAAAUUGAAUGUUUAUGUUUUCAUCAUCAGACUGUCAAGGUUAGGAAAACUGGCCUUCAAAUCCAACCACCCUGGAGUUGGAUUCUGGCUAUGCCUACAUAACAAACUCAUGUGAUUGUUGUGAAACCAGCACAAGAUAUUUCAUGUAAAGAGCUUAUUAUAAUGUUUGGCAUUUAGUGAGGAACCAAUAAUAAGCAUUGCUUAACAAUAACAAUGAUAAUAGAUGGUCUUAU